CCUACGGGAGGCAGCAGUGGGGAAUAUUGCGCAAUGGGCGAAAGCCUGACGCAGCGACGCCGCGUGAGGGAUGAAGGUCUUCGGAUCGUAAACCUCUGUCAGCAGGGAAGAACGGUCACUGUGCUAAUCAGCAGUGAAUUGACGGUACCUGCAAAGGAAGCACCGGCUAACUCCGUGCCAGCAGCCGCGGUAAUACGGAGGGUGCGAGCGUUAAUCGGAAUUACUGGGCGUAAAGCGCUCGUAGGCGGUAUGUCAAGUCAAGGGUGAAAUCCCCGCGCUCAACGUGGGAACUGCCUUUGAAACUGGCAGACUGGAGUGUGUGAGAGGAUAGUGGAAUUCCAGGUGUAGGAGUGAAAUCCGUAGAUAUCUGGCGGAACAUCAGUGGCGAAGGCGACUAUCUGGCACAUAACUGACGCUGAGGAGCGAAAGCGUGGGUAGCAAACAGGAUUAGAUACCCGGGUAGUC
rnacentral:rRNA from 1 species